rnacentral:lncRNA from 1 species
CCGGAAUGAAGGUCUUAAUAGCGCCGCACCAGAAGAAUUCGUCAAAAUCGCAGCUGAACAGACUAGUCAGCUUCAAGCCUUCGUUUGAAGCCUCAAACGUCCUCAAAUCGUAUUUUGCCCAGAAAUACGACUUCUUCGUCUUCGAGAGAGCUUUCCGUGGCCUCCUGUUUCGCUUGAAUCGGAGUUCUGUGGAGGAAGUUAUGGCCGUUCUCCCGAAACUGCCAGAA